AGAGUUUGAUCCUGGCUCAGGAUGAACGCUAGCUACAGGCUUAACACAUGCAAGUCGAGGGGAAACGACAUCGAAAGCUUGCUUUUGAUGGGCGUCGACCGGCGCACGGGUGAGUAACGCGUAUCCAACCUGCCCACCACUUGGGGAUAACCUUGCGAAGGUAAGACUAAUACCCAAUGACGUCUCUAGAAGACAUCUGAAAGAGAUUAAAGAUUUAUCGGUGAUGGAUGGGGAUGCGUCUGAUUAGCUUGUUGGCGGGGUAACAGCCACAAGGCGACGAUCAGUAGGGGUUCUGAGAGGAAGGUCCCCANAUUGGAACUGAGACACGGUCCAAACUCCUACGGGAGCA
rnacentral:rRNA from 1 species